AGAAUAAGAUGACUUGCGGCUUUGAUCUUUCUUGACUUUCAUGCAUCUAACUCUUUUUCUCUCCCCCCAUUGCAACACGAAAUCAGCAUCUGAGGUUCCAUUUCCUCUUUGUCCCUUCACUUCUUCCAUUACAACCUUACACAACCCAACAAAGAGAUAUCAAACGUUCUUCCCAAGAAAUAGACUAAGAAAGUUUCAGCCAUUUUAUAGAUUAAAUGCACACAAAAGAUAUCCAUCUAUUAAACUGAAAUAACAGAAGACCAAUUUGAACUAAUUAGUAGAAACAAAGACCCCCACUAACCUCAAGAUCUGCGGCUUUGGCUACCACAAUACCAGAAUCACCCCACUACAAAAGAAGCAAUAUCCAAAACAGUAUAAGAAAAGAUUAACAGCAGCUGAAUCGAUUCUUCAAAAGUUCUAGAACCCCAAAUCCACCAUUCUAUUCUCUAAGGCAAGACAAAUACAGAGACACAAAG